rnacentral:rRNA from 1 species
UACAGAGGGUGCAAGCGUUGUUCGGAAUUAUUGGGCGUAAAGCGCGUGUAGGCGGCUUUGCAAGUCGGGUGUGAAAGCCCUCAGCUCAACCGAGGAAGUGCGCCCGAAACUGCAGAGCUUGAGUACCGGAGAGGGUGGCGGAAUUCCCCAAGUAGAGGUGAAAUUCGUAGAUAUGGGGAGGAACACCGGUGGCGAAGGCGGCCACCUGGACGGUAACUGACGCUGAGACGCGAAAGCCAGGGGAGCAAACGGG